rnacentral:rRNA from 1 species
UGCCGGCGACCGGCGGACGGGUGCGUAACGCGUAUGUAACCUACCUUUGACAGGGGGAUAACAUCGAGAAAUUGGUACUAAUACCCCAUAACAUCACCGGAGGCAUCUUCGGUGGUUGAAAACUCAGGUGGUCAGAGAUGGACAUGCGUUGUAUUAGCUAGUUGGUGAGGUAACGGCCCACCAAGACAACGAUGGAUAGGGGUUCUGAGAGGAAGGUCCCCCACAUUGGAACUGAGACACGGUCCAAACUCCUACGGAAGGCAGCAG